ensembl:lncRNA
CCCUGUCCUCCUGCCCACGGUUACCUCUGCUCCACCGGAUGCAACGUGGGAAACCGGACGGAAAACAGUGGGAGUUUGUGGGCAAAGAUGAAGUAGGCGAAGCAUUUCUGGUCCUUGCCUAUCAUUCACCCUCAUCACUGGUGCUUUUGCUGUCUUCGCCUUUGGCACGUGCUUGUCACCCAGACAAGGAAACGCAGAGAGAAUUCAGAGAAGACACAGUUUCCCCGGUAGCUUAUUUAACAAAGGAGGACAAAGACAAUACUACACUCCAUUCAACAUGCAAACAGACUGACCUCAAAUGCAUUGUGGAACUUCAAGAAGUAUUUUGUAUGAGUAUUUCUGAAGUGGGUAGCAUCUUUACGAAGAGAAGCCUGACUGAAUGGAAUCCAAGUAUAAUUUGCUGACCAACGUGAAUAGUCAGUAACACUAAGGCAAAAUGGCAUUGCCACCAGUCUGCAACGCUGAUGAUAAGACCCUGUUGAUAAAGACAACACACGUUUAAUGAAUCGAAAGACAAUCGAGCUGGUAUUCAACUGCAAGCCUCACUCCCACCCCCGCUGACUGUUUAUAAUACUCGAGAAUGCUGUUCAUGCUGCUAUUAUAAUUAUCCAUUUACUCAGCCGUGAAGCCUGAGAGCUAUGACAGCAGCCUGCCUGAAGGACAUGCCCACUGGCUUAAUGGCACAAAGUUAUUGGGAUAAUCAAUACCCUUUUAUUGGAUUUAAAGCCCCUCUAUGAGGUAGAACUCAUAACUGACAAAGUUAAUGAGGCCAGGAAACUGAGACUAACUAGGUC